GAUAAAAUUCACUGCGGAGACAUCAGCAAACAUUCCAUUGAAAUGCAGAGAAAGGAAAAGCCAACUGAUCCAUUAAACUCCACUGGCCCGUUCAGUUCAGGGAAGGGGAAAUCAAUAGCGUUCCUCUUAGUCAUCAUUUAGAUCAAAGAAAUGAACAUUUCUAGACGGUGGACACUUGGCCCUUCUUGCUUUAUGUUGCAGAUUCCCAUAAUCCUUCUACCUGGUGGAUUUUGGAUGUUUAAAUAUAAGUAAUGGAUAAAUACAGACAAAGCCUAUCCCACUUUGUUUACACAUGGAU